rnacentral:rRNA from 1 species
UAAUACGGAAGGGGCAAGCGUUGUUCGGAAUCAUUGGGCGUAAAGGGCGCGUAGGCUGUCUUGUGUGUCUGCUGUAAAAGCACACGGCUCAACCGUGUAAGGUCGGUAGAAACUGCAAGACUUGAGGCUGGGAGAGGCUGGUGGAAUUCCCUGUGUAGCGGUGAAAUGCGUAGAUAUAGGGGAGAACACUCGUGGCGAAGGCGGCCAGCUGGACCAGUCCUGACGCUGAGGCGCGACAGCGUGGGGAGCAAACAGGAUUAGAUACCCUGGUAGUCCACGCCGUAAACGAUGGGCACUAGGUGUUGGCGGUACUGAUUCCGUCUGCGCCGGCGUUAACGCAGUAAGUGCCCCGCCUGGGGAGUACGGUCGCAAGGCUG